rnacentral:rRNA from 1 species
AGAGUUUGAUCAUGGCUCAGGAUGAACGCUAGCUACAGGCUUAACACAUGCAAGUCGAGGGGAAACGAUAUUGGAAGCUUGCUUCCGAUAGGCGUCGACCGGCGCGCGGGUGAGUAACGCGUAUCCAACCUGCCCACCACUUGGGGAUAACCUUGCGAAAGUAAGACUAAUACCCAAUGACGUCUCUAGAAGACAUCUGAAAGAGAUUAAAGAUUUAUCGGUGAUGGAUGGGGAUGCGUCUGAUUAGCUUGUUGGCGGGGUAACGGCCCACCAAGGCUACGAUCAGUAGGGGUUCUGAGAGGAAGGUCCCCCANAUUGGAACUGAGACACGGUCCAAAACUCCGUACGGGAGGCA